GGAUGUGAGGGCGAUCUGGCUGCGACAUCUGUCACCCCAUUGAUCGCCAGGGUUGAUUCGGCUGAUCUGGCUGGCUAGGCGGGUGUCCCCUUCCUCCCUCACCGCUCCAAGUGCGUCCCUCCGGAAGCUGCGCGCUCGGUCGAAGAGGACGGCCUUCCCCGAAUAGAGACCGGUCUUCGGUCGAGGGUAUACGAGUAGCUGCGCUCCCCUGCUAGAACCUCCAAACAAGAUUUUACUUGUUGAGGAACCUCAGAGUGAACUCACAAGACAGGAGUCCCU
rnacentral:snRNA from 1 species